UUCUCGUGGCCUAGUGGUUCGAGCGUCCGCCUCGGAUGCAAGAGGUCGCGGGUUCGAACCCCUGCCGAGUCAU